GAACGCACCUUGCGCUCCUUGGUAUUCCUUGGAGCAUGCCUGUUUGAGUAUCAUGGAAUUCUCAACUCCCAAGUUUCUUAUAGAAGCAUGGUGAGCUUGGACUUGGAGGAUUUGUGCUGGCUAUUAAUCUAGUCGGCUCCUCUGAAAUGCAUUAGCAUGAAUUUUGCGAUCAUCUUCAGUGUGAUAAUUGUCUACGCUGUGAAUGUGAAGCAAUUUAUAUUUAUGCUUAUAGUCGUCUUUUAAAGACACUUUCUUGACUUCUGAUCUCAAAUCAGGUAGGACUACCCGCUGAACUUAAG
rnacentral:misc_RNA from 1 species